CCCCUAGAUGUUCUGGGCCGCACGCGCGCUACACUGAACAGUUCAACAAGUCUUAACCUUGGCCGAUAGGUCUGGGUAAUCUUUGAACGCUGUUCGUGAUUGGGAUAGACCUUUGCAAUUAUGGGUCUUCAACGAGGAGUUCCUAGUAAACGCAAGUCAUCAGCUUGCAUUGAUUACGUCCCUGCCCUUUGUACACACCGCCCGUCGCACCUACCGAUUGAAUGGUCCGGUGAAAUCUCGGGACGGCGGCUCGGUCGCUUGCGUCCGACUGCUGAAACUUGAUUAAACCAUAUCAUUUAGAGGAAGGUGAAGUCGUAACA
rnacentral:rRNA from 1 species